rnacentral:rRNA from 1 species
UACGAAGGGGGGCUAGCGUUGUUCGGAAUUACUGGGCGUAAAGGGCUCGUAGGUGGCCAACUAAGUCGGACGUGAAAUCCCUCGGCUUAACCGGGGAACUGCGUCCGAUACUGGAUGGCUAGAGUUCGGGAGAGGGAUGCGGAAUUCCAGGUGUAGCGGUGAAAUGCGUAGAUAUCUGGAGGAACACCGGUGGCGAAGGCGGCAUCCCGUCGGACC